CAGCCGCCGCGGUAAUACAGAGGAUGCAAGCGUUAUCCGGAAUGAUUGGGCGUAAAGCGUCUGUAGGUGGCUUUUCAAGUCCGCCAUCAAAUCCCUGGGCUCAACCCUGGACAGGCAGUGGAAACUACCAAGCUGGAGUACGGUAGGGGCAGAGGGAAUUUCCGGUGGAGAGGUGAAAUGCGUUGAGAUUGGAAAGAACACCAACGGUGAAAGCGCUCUGCUGGGCCGACACUGACACUGAGAGACGAAAUCUAGGGGAGCAGAUGGGAUUAGAUACCCCCGUAGUCCCUGUCUCUUAUAC
rnacentral:rRNA from 1 species